rnacentral:rRNA from 1 species
UACGUAGGGUGCAAGCGUUGUCCGGAAUUAUUGGGCGUAAAGGGCGCGUAGGCGGCCAACUAAGUCGAACGUGAAAUCCCUGGGCUCAACCCAGGAACUGCGUCCGAUACUGGUUGGCUUGAAUCCGGGAGAGGGAUGUGGAAUUCCAGGUGUAGCGGUGAAAUGCGUAGAUAUCUGGAGGAACACCGGUGGCGAAGGCGACAUCCUGGACCGGUAUUGACGCUGAGGCGCGAAAGCCAGGGGAGCAAACGGG